CAGAGGAAGGGCGGCCUCCACCUUCGAGUUCCAGCAGAGGAAGGGCGGCCUCCAGUGGGCCAGUGAGCCAGUGAGCAGCCGCAUUGGCUUCUUCCUCUUCCCUCCUUCCCGUCGUGCUUCCCGUGCUCCCCGACGUGUGGCUUGGCCAGCACGGAGGUGAGGCUUGACGGGUGCGGAAGGAUAGGCAGACAUACGUCACUUUGGGCGGUGGCGUAGGCCAGCAGGUGGCCGGCGGCCAUGGCGGUCUCUGGUUCCUCUCUCGUUCUAGUGUAGGGGAUAGGAGAAUGAAAGUAGAGAAGAGAAAAAUAAAUAAGAAAGAGACCCUGACAUGUGGGCCUCACAUGUCAGUUAACGGUCAAACAGGGAGUCAAACUAACGCUUCAUUUAGGUGUGGAUCCGACCUGUCAUAAUCACGAUUAGUCGUAAAGUAUUUGACGAUUUAGAUUUUUUAAAAACCGAUAGUUUUUUAAACCCUAGCCUGUAAACUAGUAGUUUUAUGCUAUUUACUCCUACAAUUAUGGAUAGACUACUUCGACUAUACUUUUGCGAGAGUCCAUUUUCAAUUGCUAUAAUCUCAUGGCACAUGACCUUCAUUUUUUUGUAAUUUUAUGGGUAAUUUUGCCACUCUAUGAUUUUCAGCAGGUAUAAUCUUAUGAUCCAUGAUCUUUACCUGAAUUUUGUUAGUAGUCAAAUAGUUUCUUCACAAGCGACAUUCUUCAUGUUUAGUGGUACUUGCACUGUGCGUGAGUAAGAGAGAGAGAAAAUGAUGAUGAAGCCUUUAUAAACUUAUAAGUUUCCAACAAGGGGAUACUUUUUUUUGUUAUGUUUUGAGUAAAUUAUUAUUGGUUUAUAUCUUGUGGCAAGACAUUCUUCAGAACUCGCAAAAACACUGAAAUGCAAAAGAAAUAUUAAAAAUUGUAGAUGAGAAUUCAUGCACAAUGACAAUGCUAUCCCUUCGAUCCAUAUUAAUUGUUACUCCCUCUGUUCUUAAAUAGUUGUUGUUGGACAGAACUAUAUUAGUUUUCCCCAACAACAAAUAUUAUGGUACAGAGGGAGUACAACUUUAGCAUAACUUUUUAUUUGAAAAUGUCAUAUAAUGAUCAUAGUUCCGCCUUGAAGAACAUGUUGGGGCCUGAAACGGUAUACAUACAUCUAUCUACACUACAAUCAAAGGAAGCAUUUCUUUGUCACACUUCAUCCGUAGGAAGGAAGCAUUUCUUUGUCACAUUUCAUCCGUAGGGUUUAGGCAGUUGCGGCUCCUAUUUUUUCCGCUCCUCGGUAGUACUCUCGUAGUCUAUGAUCGUAUCGUAUCAACCACCCGCGAAGAGCCAAAGACACAGGGGCGACAAGUCAACCCAGCAGGCAGCGAGCUCAAGCGUCAAAGGCCAGCAGAGGAAGGGCGGCCUCCACCUUCCAGUUCCAGGUGCUCCGGCUCCUCCACUGGCCCACCACUAUGCCGAUGGACACCCCGCCGCCGCGCGGGGCGGCGCUGUCCGACGACGACCGCCUCCUCGUCGCCCACUGCGCCGGACUCUCCUUCCCCUCCGCCUCCCGCUCCCCGCCCUCCGCCACCGCCUCCUUCCAGGUGCACCACGCGUCCCACCCCUACCCCUGCGCCGCCUUCGUCUUCCCGCCCACCUGGUCCGCCGCCGGCUGGAUGCCCCCCUCCCUCGACGCCGGCGG
rnacentral:lncRNA from 1 species